rnacentral:rRNA from 1 species
GACGAACGCUGGCGGCGUGCUUAACACAUGCAAGUCGAACGGAAAGGCCCUGCUUGCAGGGUACUCGAGUGGCGAACGGGUGAGUAACACGUGGGUGAUCUGCCCUGCACUUCGGGAUAAGCCUGGGAAACUGGGUCUAAUACCGGAUAUGACCUUCCAUGUAGUGUGGGGGGUGGAAAGAUUUAUCGGUGUGGGAUGAGCCCGCGGCCUAUCAGCUUGUUGGUGGGGUAAUGGCCUACCAAGGCGUCGACGGGUAGCCGGCCUGAGAGGGCGGACGGCCACAUUGGGACUGAGAUACGGCCCAGACUCCUACGGGAGGCAGCAGUGGGGAAUAUUGCACAAUGGGCGGAAGCCUGAUGCAGCGACGCCGCGUGGGGGAUGACGGCCUUCGGGUUGUAAACCUCUUUCGACAGGGACGAAGCUUCGGUGACGGUACCUGGAUAAGAAGCACCGGCUAACUACGUG